rnacentral:rRNA from 1 species
ACGUCGCAAGACCAAAGAGGGGGACCUUCGGGCCUCUUGCCAUCAGAUGUGCCCAGAUGGGAUUAGCUAGUAGGUGGGGUAACGGCUCACCUAGGCGACGAUCCCUAGCUGGUCUGAGAGGAUGACCAGCCACACUGGAACUGAAACACGGUCCAGACUCCUACGGGAGGCAGCAGUGGGGAAUAUUGCACAAUGGGCGCAAGCCUGAUGCAGCCAUGCCGCGGGUAUGAAGAAGGCCUUCGGGUUGUAAAGUACUUUCAGCGGGGAGGAAGGCGAUGCGGUUAAUAACCGCGUCGAUUGACGUUACCCGCACAAAAAGCACCGGCUAACUCCGUGCCAGCAGCCGCGGUAAUACGGAGGGUGCAAGCGUUAAUCGGAAUUACUGGGCGUAAAGCGCACGCAGGCGGUCUGUCAAGUCGGAUGUGAAAUCCCCGGGCUCAACCUGGGAACUGCAUCCGAAACUGGCAGGCUUGACUCUCGUAGAGGGGGGUAGAAUUCCAGGUGUAGCGGUGAAAUGCGUAGAGAUCUGGAGGAAUACCGGUGGCGAAGGCGGCCCCCUGGACGAAGACUGACGCUCAGGUGCGAAAGCGUGGGGAGCAAACAGGAUUAG